rnacentral:tRNA from 1 species
UUAAUAGAAGCCAAAAUUGAGGCUAUUCACUGUUAAUGAAUUCAAUGACCAAUCCUAUUAAG